GAGGGAGCCCUAGCACAGGUGCUGCAUGGCCGUCGUCAGCUCGUGCCGUGAGGUGUUGGGUUAAGUCCCGCAACGAGCGCAACCCCGCCGUUAGUGCCAGCGGUUCGGCCGGGCACUCUAACGGGACUGCCCGCGAAAGCGGGAGGAAGGAGGGGACGACGUCUGGUCAGCAUGGCCCUUACGGCCUGGGCGACACACGUGCUACAAUGCCCACUACAAAGCGAUGCCACCCGGCAACGGGGAGCUAAUCGCAAAAAGGUGGGCCCAGUUCGGAUUGGGGUCUGCAACCCGACCCCAUGAAGCCGGAAUCGCUAGUAAUCGCGGAUCAGCCAUGCCGCGGUCGAAUACGUUCCCGGGCCUU
rnacentral:rRNA from 1 species